rnacentral:sRNA from 1 species
AUAUAAACAUAUAAGAUUUGAUAUCUAAAUUUUAAUUAAUUUAAUUUAAUUAGAAAAACGAAAUACAUUAUUAAUUUCCAAAAGAGUAACCUAUUAAAAUCAACAAAUUAGAUUUGAUAUCUAAAUUAUCAUAUUAAUUUUUUAUUAAUUAUUAUAGUUCACUUCUCAUCUUUAUAUGAUUCUAUUUUUGCAAAAAAUAAUAUCAUCAUUAUAAAAAAUAAUUAGAGUUUUUUCGCAUAUGUCAUAAUUUGAAUUUUUGAAAAUUGUGAAUAUAAACUGUUCAAUACAUGAAAAAUAUUAUAACGGGUGAAAAAUAAAUUUAAGAAAACUUUCUACUGAGUAACGCGUCAUAUUUGAAAUAUUUAUAUUCAAUUUCAUACAUAUUAUAUUGAAAAUUUAUAAUCUUAUAUACUACAAUAAUUAAUAACAUAUUAGAUUUUUUUCUGUGUAUGAUGUGAUUCAAUUUUUAAUACAAGAUAGAAAAUCCUAGAAUUGACGGGUUUAGAUCGAUAUUAAUACAAGAUGGUAUACUACAUGUGAAACUCUUAAAUUAACAAUCAAACUACAAGUGUAUAAUCUUAAACACUAAACAAUAUAGAUAAUAUCAACAAAACAUAUACAACUCACAGUUUACUUUUAAUAUUUUAUAUACAAAAUCAAUUAAAUCUUAAUUAAAUCUUAAUCACAUAAAAAUUAGCACAAAAAAAAUAUUCAACAAUUAAAUUUUUUAUCAAAUCUCUGUGUUAUAUAAGUUUUGAUACUAUAUUCGAAUAAAGUGUAAUAUACCUUUUCAAUUUGUAUUCUUUAACUAAUUCAAGCUAACUAAUAUAUUUGCUAAUCUUAUACCUAUCAAAACCGACUAUCGUUUCUUAUUUCUAUAGUAUUUUUGCAAGACUUUUUUGGUGGAUUGGGGUAAAAGUGCAUUCGGGUCAUAUGGUACAUUCCCCUAUUAAAUAAAAAUGGUAUACUCAUAUGUUAUUAGCUAAAAUGUUUAGAUUAUAAUUCAGAGUCAUAUCAUUAAUAAAAUUAAUAUUAAUAAAAUAAAUGGCUUUUUGGCAAGACGGAUUUGGAGUGACGGGUUUUUGAAUCAACAUUAAUAAAAAAGUAAAAUAUAAUUAAUACACCGUUUCAAUAUGGGUUAAAUCUUUAAUUUAUUAUUUUUUAAGACCACUAAUAUUAAACAUAUCAAAUCAUCCUAAUUUAGAAAAGAUUAUAUAAAACCAAAAAUGUUAUGUGGUAUGUAUAAUGUUACUAUAUAUAAAAUAUAAAUGUAUUAGAGAAUGAUAUAAUUUGCAAAACUUUUAUCUAUAAAAAAUAAUUCUUAAAUUUUAAAAAUUACUACUUUAAAAAAAAAUUUCACGGGAGGGAUAAAGAAAUUAUAGAACGAGUUUUAUUUUGGAAUUGGGUUAUAUGGUGGAUGUAUUUGAAAAUCAAUAUUUAUAAAAUUUUAAAAUAUUAUUAAUAUGCUGUUUUAAUAGAGGUUACAACUUCAGUUUUUUAACAAUUGUCUCAUAGAUUCGUGGUAUAGCCUUACUUAAUAACAAUUAUAAAGUGUAAAAUAUAAAUAUUUUAUAAAAAUAAAAUUUGCAAAUUUUAAUAUAUAUUACUUUUAAAAAAUAAAUCGUCCCGCGGUAUACCGCGGGUUAAAAUCUAGUCUUUGAUAAUAUUAUAAUAUCAAAAUCGAAAGAUGAAAUUGAUAGGGAGAUCAAACAUUUGGUGGAAUGGUGGUCACCAUAACUGUUGGGUAAAACCUAAGUCAUGAAUAAUAAUUUUAUGGUUGUCAUUUGCGUACAGAAUUCUGAUAAUGUUUUUUUGUUUAAAUAAUUAAAUGCAAUUUACUUGCCAAUCCACUUCAAUCGAUACCAGCCACACCUGAGUUAAACUGAAGUCGGCCCGUGGUUGAACUAUCAGAUCCCAAACACAAAUGGUGGCUUUGGUCCCAUAGAUGUGUGGUUGGCUAUCCACAUAGGCGAUUACAUACCGUUCCACCAAAAGUAUUAACCCGAUUAUUUUACGAUACAUGUUAUGUAUAUUCUUAAUGGUUUUUAGUGUAUAACUCAUAUCUAAUUAAUCUUUUGUACACAACUUUGCAACAUAUAGUAAGGCUUUUUUUAUAUAUAAUUGGAUUAUUGUGAGUUAUGUUACUGUCAUUAUAAUGUGUCGGAUUAUUCUUAAUCUGAUUUUUAAUAAAUUAAAAGGUCAUGUAUAUUAUCUUUUCUAAUUAAGUUUUUAAAAUUCAUAGGUGAUAAUGUGAUACUAUCCUUUUGCGUUUAUAUUUCGUAAGGAAAAUAAAUAAAUAGAUAUACUGUCACCAAACGUUUUUGCUUGUUAAUUUUAUAAAACUAUGUAUUGUAGUUGUUGUUCGUAAAAUAAUAAUGUGUACUAAAUAAAAACAGUUUAAAUUUGAGAGACCAACGUAUAAAUAAAAAAGUUCAACUCUAAAAUAGAGUAGAGAAUAAAGUUACUCUAUAUAUAAAGCAAUUAUGCAGAAAUCUCUAUUUUAGAGUCAAAUAUAGAGUAGGGUUGGAAAAGAAUUCGGAGUUUUACUCUAAAAUAUAGUAGAGUUAGAGAUGUCCUUAAUUAGGACACCUCUAUCCAGUUGAAUGCAAAACUUGCCAACCAUAUCCUUCUUCUUUUUGUACCAUAUCGGUUGGUGUUUCCUGCAUACGUAUAUGAUUAUAUAAAGUAAGACAUAUAAAUUUCAUUAUUGAGUUUAUUAGUAAUUUUGGUGUGUCGUUUAAAAUAAAUUUUGAAAUAGUUAAAAAAGACAAAAAAAGACCUGAAGCUUGAAGUAAAAAAUAAUAAUAUGCUUGGCCACCAUACAAAUUAUUCUAAAAGCGGUGAUGUAAUCAUUGAAAAACUUAGAAGUGCAUAUUUUUCUUGUGAUUUCUAAAUGUUAAAAUUUUUCUCUAGUUUCGAUUUUGAUGGAAGUGGCUGUUUUAUAGAUAUAUUUUUAUAUAUAUUUAAGCAAAACAUAAGAAGAAAAUUAAGCAACAGUUAAGCAAAAUAUAACAAUUUUUUUUUAAUAUCAAAUUCAU